AAAAAGAUAAGCUAAUAAAGCUAAUAGGUUCAUACCCUAGUUAUAGAGGUAUAGCCCUCUUCUUUUUA
rnacentral:tRNA from 1 species